rnacentral:rRNA from 1 species
UACGGAGGAUGCAAGCGUUAUCCGGAAUGAUUGGGCGUAAAGCGUCCGCAGGUGGCUAUGUAAGUCUGCUGUUAAAGAGUGAGGCUCAACCUCAUAAGAGCAGUGGAAACUACAUGGCUAGAGUGCGUUCGGGGCAGAGGGAACUCCUGGUGUAGCGGUGAAAUGCGUAGAGAUCAGGAAGAACACCGGUGGCGAAAGCGCUCUGCUAGGCCGCAACUGACACUCAUGGACGAAAGCUAGGGGAGCGAAUGGG